UACGUAGGGGGCUAGCGUUGUCCGGAAUCAUUGGGCGUAAAGCGCGCGUAGGCGGUCAGGUAAGUCCGGUGUGAAAGUCAAAGGCUCAACCUUUGAAUGCCGCUGGAUACUGCCUGACUUGAGUCCGGAAGGGGCGAGUGGAAUUCCUGGUGUAGCGGUGAAAUGCGUAGAUAUCUGGAGGAACACCGGUGGCGAAGGCGGCAUCCUGGACCGAGAUUGACGCUGAUGCGCGAAAGCCAGGGGAGCAAACGGG
rnacentral:rRNA from 1 species